UACGGUUGCAGUCGUAGCAUCGUGAGGAGUUCGAGCGAGGGCAUGGUUUUCGCCGUCCUCGACGUCGCACCGGCGCUGGAUUCGCUGUCGAGCGUCGACCGUCAGUGUUUCGGCUCGUACUCGGCGUAGGAACGUCGGAUUUCGACGGGACUUGGUUCAUUGGAUUCAGGACUUCGAGAGGAAUCCACGAAGCCCUUAUUUGCUGGAUUUGUUGAAGGGCGAUUUCGAACUUGAGCUGGACACCCUGGUUUUUUCAGUGGAUUUGGGGAUUUUUGGUGACCUCCUCGCUGCCGGGGUUUAGCGAUCGAGGUGGGUUACAUCGAUUUUUACUCCUAAGUUCUAAUCGUCAACAUGUAUAAAUCUCGAUUUUUAGUAUAGUCUAUU